GGACUACACGGGUUUCUAAUCCUGUUUGCUCCCCCAGCUUUCGCGCAUCAGCGUCAGUAGUGGUCCAGUGCGCCGCUUUCGCCACAGGUGUUCCUCCCGAUCUCUACGCAUUUCACCGCUACACCGGGAAUUCCACGCACCUCUCCCACACUCCAGCACGGCAGUUUUCCCCGCAGGCACUGAGUUGAGCCCAGUGAUUUCACGAGGAACUUGCCGCACCGCCUACGCGCCCUUUACGCCCAAUAAUUCCGAACAACGCUCGCACCCUCUGUAUUACCGCGGCUGCUGGCAC
rnacentral:rRNA from 1 species